rnacentral:rRNA from 1 species
GACGAACCGUGCGAACGUUGUUCGGAUUCACUGGGCUUAAAGGGCGCGUAGGCGGGCGAUCAAGUCAGGGGUGAAAGCCCCCAGCUCAACUGGGGAAGUGCCUCUGAUACUGGUCAUCUCGAGGGAGGUAGGGGCGUGCGGAACUUCCGGUGGAGCGGUGAAAUGCGUAGAUAUCGGAAGGAACACCGGUGGCGAAAGCGGCGCGCUGGACCUCUUCUGACGCUGAGGCGCGAAAGCCAGGGGAGCGAACGGG